CUACGCACUCCUACGGGAGGCAGCAGUGGGGAAUAUUGCACAAUGGGCGCAAGCCUGAUGCAGCCAUGCCGCGUGUAUGAAGAAGGCCUUCGGGUUGUAAAGUACUUUCAGCAGUGAGGAAGGUGGGUAUGUUAAUAGCAUACUCAUUUGACGUUAGCUGCAGAAGAAGCACCGGCUAACUCCGUGCCAGCAGCCGCGGUAAUACGGAGGGUGCGAGCGUUAAUCGGAAUUACUGGGCGUAAAGCGCAUGCAGGUGGUUUGUUAAGUCAGAUGUGAAAGCCCGGGGCUCAACCUCGGAAUUGCAUUUGAAACUGGCAAACUAGAGUACUGUAGAGGGGGUAGAAUUUCAGGUGUAGCGGUGAAAAUGCGUAGAGAUCUGAAGGAAUACCGGUGGCGAAGGCGGCCCCCUGGACAGAUACUGACACUCAGAUGCGAAAGCGUGGGGAGCAAACAGGAUUAGAUACCCUGGUAG
rnacentral:rRNA from 1 species